AUCCUCACAGUAAAUGACUUCCCCCUGAAAUCCAACCUAAAUCUUUCCUCCUUCAACUUAAAAUCGUUCCCUCUUCUUCUGCUGUUAUCUACCCUUACAAAGAAUUGACUCCCCUCCUGUUUAUAGGCUACCUUUAGGUACUGAAAGGCUGCUGUAUUUUGGUCACCCCACAGCCUUCUUUUCUCCAGGCUGAACAAGCCAAGUUCCCUCAGCCUGUCUUCAUAGGGAAGGUGCUCCAGCCAUCUUUGUGGCCCUCCUCUGGACCCUCUCCAACAGCUCUCCGUCUCUCUUGUACUGGGGCCUCCAGACGUGGACACAGUACUCCAGAUGGGGCCUCUAUAACAGAUUAUUCUUUUAUAUGAUUGACUCAAAGUUUGCUGAGGAACAAGUCCAGGCAAGUCCUGGGCAAAGGUAGAGAAAUCUUCUGUCUGGAGGACACUGAUGGAGAGGUCCUGGCUAAGGGUUGUGAAAUCCUUUAAGGAGCACAGAUGGACAAGUCCAGGGGCAAAGAGAGAGAGAUAAGCUGCUGAUAAUGGCCGGGAAACGGUCUUUUGUGUGGACUUAUCUCGAGGAAGAUGGCCAUCUCAGGAGGUAUGCACAUGACUCUUGCUCAAGCACCCAGGGAUGCCAUGUAGGCAGGAAAAAAAAAGGAGGAUAAAAGAGGGUCCAACAACCAUGAGGAGGAGUUUUUUUCUGCCAUCUGAUCCCUCAUCACGACAGACUGAGGGGUUUCUGUCAUCAGAUCCCUCACCAUGACAGACUCAAGGUUUCUGCCAUCAGAUCCCUCACUACGGACCGUAUGCUGACGGACUUCCCUGGGCCUGCUACCUGAGACCUGCUGCUUCCUCCCAGACUUACUCUGUGGCUUCUUCCUGGACCCACCCGGCACCUGCACCUUCUCGUUGCCCAAGACCAGCCCCGCUGCUCCUGCCCUUUGGCCUUGGACCAUCGGAACAUCAUACAACGGGACUACUGCCGGAUCCUGGUGGUGACUAUCCCCGCUUUAUGCAAUUCUUGCUUCUUUCUAUCUUUUCUAUCGCUCGCCUUCCCUUCCCCAUCACCCCAAUCCGUAAUAGUGUCCGUCCUCCCCUUUCUUCAUCUCCCUUAUUAAUAUUUGCAAUAAACUGGUCGGACCG
ensembl:lncRNA